UCCAUGCAAUCCUACCGAAGCGCGAAUUGAGCGCUUCGCGUAUCGGACAAAAAAAAAAAAACAAAAAAAUUCUAUUACCGGUUAACUAGAAGCGGAAGUAAUACGAUGCAAGUACUCUUCCGUGCGUCACGAAUAGUUUUGCAAUUACGUUUUGCGCAUUGCUUACGCACUCGGAAUGUAUAAGAUACGCGUCACGUGGCGCAUCGCUAAUCAAAAAUUAAGAUUUAUUAUUAUUAUUUUUUUCUGGGAGAUAAUCUUUAAUCCGAAUUUUGUGCUACGUAGCGUUUCACGGUUCAGCGAUAUCUGCGAUCAUAAACCUAUUGGUCGUAAAGUAGACGUGGGAACGAUGCGAAAUCGUCGAAUCAAAGCUUUAAACGAAUUCUCUCCCACCUGUUGAAUCGGAUGCGUCGUGUGGCUCGUAUACGUUUAACACAACUCGGCAGGUAACCAGUAAGUAGAAACCAAUACGCAAUUGAAUUUUGCAACCUAGAGAGAGAGGCGUGCUUGAAUAAUUUAAUAACAUUUUCUCGGUUGUCGCCUUCUCCGUACCUGUUUCCAGUUGCACCCACGUAUUGCGAUGCGUUCCGAACACUUCCCAAACCGAGAAUGAAACCGUCGCCCAAAAUUUUACUUUUCUAAUUAAAAAAAAAAAAAAAAAAAAAUGAAUUUCGUAGGAUAAAAACAAAAGGUAAUACCUACAUUUUUGGGGU
rnacentral:lncRNA from 1 species